rnacentral:rRNA from 1 species
UACGGAGGGUGCAAGCGUUAUCCGGAUUCACUGGGUUUAAAGGGUGCGUAGGUGGGUUGGUAAGUCAGUGGUGAAAUCUCCGAGCUUAACUUGGAAACUGCCAUUGAUACUAUCAGUCUUGAAUAUUGUGGAGGUUAGCGGAAUAUGUCAUGUAGCGGUGAAAUGCUUAGAUAUGACAUAGAACACCAAUUGCGAAGGCAGCUGGCUACGCAUAUAUUGACACUGAGGCACGAAAGCGUGGGGAUCAAAACAGG